UCUGGGAUAAGCCUGGGAAACUGGGUCUAAUACCGGAUAGGAGCGUCCACCGCAUGGUGGGUGUUGGAAAGAUUUAUCGGUUUUGGAUGGACUCGCGGCCUAUCAGCUUGUUGGUGAGGUAAUGGCUCACCAAGGCGACGACGGGUAGCCGGCCUGAGAGGGUGACCGGCCACACUGGGACUGAGACACGGCCCAGACUCCUACGGGAGGCAGCAGUGGGGAAUAUUGCACAAUGGGCGAAAGCCUGAUGCAGCGACGCCGCGUGAGGGAUGACGGCCUUCGGGUUGUAAACCUCUUUCAGUAGGGAAGAAGCGAAAGUGACGGUACCUGCAGAAGAAGCACCGGCUAACUACGUGCCAGCAGCCGCGGUAAUACGUAGCGUGCGAGCGUUAUCCGGAAUUAUUGGGCGUAAAGAGCUCGUAGGCGGUUUGUCGCGUCUGUCGUGAAAGUCCGGGGCUUAACCCCGGAUCUGCGGUGGGUACGGGCAGACUAGAGUGCAGUAGGGGAGACUGGAAUUCCUGGUGUAGCGGUGGAAUGCGCAGAUAUCAGGAGGAACACCGAUGGCGAAGGCAGGUCUCUGGGCUGUAACUGACGCUGAGGAGCGAAAGCAUGGGGAGCGAACAGGAUUAGAUACCCUGGUAGUCCAUGCCGUAAACGUUGGGCACUAGGUGUGGGGACCAUUCCACGGUUUCCGCGCCGCAGCUAACGCAUUAAGUGCCCCGCCUGGGGAGUACGGCCGCAAGGCUAAAACUCAAAGGAAUUGACGGGGGCCCGCACAAGCGGCGGAGCAUGCGGAUUAAUUCGAUGCAACGCGAAGAACCUUACCAAGGCUUGACAUGUUCUCGAUCGCCGUAGAGAUACGGUUUCCCCUUUGGGGCGGGUUCACAGGUGGUGCAUGGUUGUCGUCAGCUCGUGUCGUGAGAUGUUGGGUUAAGUCCCGCAACGAGCGCAACCCUCGUUCCAUGUUGCCAGCACGUCGUGGUGGGGACUCAUGGGAGACUGCCGGGGUCAACUCGGAGGAAGGUGAGGACGACGUCAAAUCAUCAUGCCCCUUAUGUCUUGGGCUUCACGCAUGCUACAAUGGCCGGUACAAUGGGUUGCGAUACUGUGAGGUGGAGCUAAUCCCAAAAAGCCGGUCUCAGUUCGGAUUGGGGUCUGCAACUCGACCCCAUGAAGUCGGAGUCGCUAGUAAUCGCAGAUCAGCAACGCUGCGGUGAAUACGUUCCCGGGCCUUGUACACACCGCCCGUCAAGUCACGAAAGUUGGUAACACCCGAAGCCGGUGGCCUA
rnacentral:rRNA from 1 species